UACGUAGGUGGCAAGCGUUAUCCGGAUUUAUUGGGCGUAAAGGGUGCGUAGGCGGCAGCUUAAGUUUAAGGUGAAAGCGUGGAGCUCAACUCCAUACAGCCUUAAAAACUGGGCAGCUAGAGUACAGAAGAGGUUAGCGGAAUUCCAUGUGUAGCGGUAAAAUGCGUAGAUAUAUGGAGGAACACCAGUGGCGAAGGCGGCUAACUGGGCUGAUACUGACGCUGAGGCACGAAAGCGUGGGGAGCAAAUAGG
rnacentral:rRNA from 1 species